rnacentral:tRNA from 14 species
GCCAGAGUGGUGAAAUCGGUAGACACAGCGGAUUCAAAAUCCGCCGCCCUUAAAAGCGUGACGGUUCGAGUCCGUCCUCUGGUACCA